UGGGGAAUCUUGCGCAAUGGGCGAAAGCCUGACGCAGCCAUGCCGCGUGAAUGAUGAAGGUCUUAGGAUUGUAAAUUCUUUCACCGGGGACGAUAAUGACGGUACCCGGAGAAGAAGCCCCGGCUAACUUCGUGCCAGCAGCCGCGGGUAAUACGAAGGGGGCGUAGCGUUGCUCGGAAUUACUGGGCGUAAAGGGAGCGUAGGCGGACAUUUAAGUCAGGGGUGAAAUCCCGGGGCUCAACCUCGGAAUUGCCUUUGAUACUGGGUGUCUUGAGUAUGAGAGAGGUGUGUGGAACUCCGAGUGUAGAGGUGAAAUUCGUAGAUAUUCGGAAGAACACCAGUGGCGAAGGCGACACAC
rnacentral:rRNA from 1 species